AAUGGGCGAGAGCCUGAACCAGCCAAGUAGCGUGCAGGAUGACGGCCCUAUGGGUUGUAAACUGCUUUUAUGCGGGGAUAAAGUGAGGGACGUGUCCUUCAUUGCAGGUACCGCAUGAAUAAGGACCGGCUAAUACCGUGCCAGCAGCCGCGGUAAUACGGAAGGUCCGGGCGUUAUCCGGAUUUAUUGGGUUUAAAGGGAGCGUAGGCCGUGGAUUAAGCGUGUUGUGAAAUGCAGGUGCUCAACGUCUGCACUGCAGCGCGAACUGGUUCACUUGUGUGUGCACAACGCAGGCGGAAUUCGUCGUGUAGCGGUGAAAUGCUUAGAUAUGACGAAGAACUCCGAUUGCGAAGGCAGCUUGCGGGAGCACAACUGACGCUGAAGCUCGAAAGUGCGAGUAUCGAACAGGAUUAGAUACCCUGGUAGUCCGCACGGUAAACGAUGGAUGCCCGUUGUCAGGCUGUUUCAGUCUGGUGACCAAGCGAAAGCAUUAAGCAUCCCACCUGGGGAGUACGCCGGCAACGGUGAAACUCAAAGGAAUUGACGGGGGCCCGCACAAGCGGAGGAACAUGUGGUUUAAUUCGAUGAUACGCGAGGAACCUUACCCGGGGCUUGAAUUGCAGACGAA
rnacentral:rRNA from 1 species